rnacentral:rRNA from 1 species
GACGAACGCUGGCGGCGUGCCUAAUACAUGCAAGUUGAGCGAUGAAGCUUGGUGCUUGCCCCAAUUUGAAGAGCAGCGAACGGGUGAGUAACGCGUGGGGAAUCUGCCUUUGAGCGGGGGACAACAUUUGGAAACGAAUGCUAAUACCGCAUAAUAACUUUAAACAUAAGUUUUAAGUUUGAAAGAUGCAAUUGCAUCACUCAAAGAUGAUCCCGCGUUGUAUUAGCUAGUUGGUGAGGUAAAGGCUCACCAAGGCGAUGAUACAUAGCCGACCUGAGAGGGUGAUCGGCCACAUUGGGACUGAGACACGGCCCAAACUCCUACGGGAGGCAGCAGUAGGGAAUCUUCGACAAUGGACGAAAGUCUGACCGAGCAACGCCGCGUGAGUGAAGAAGGUUUUCGGAUCGUAAAACUCUGUUGGUAGAGAAGAACGUUGGUGAGAGUGGAAAGCUCAUCAAGUGACGGUAACUACCCAGAAAGGGACGGCUAACUACGUG